UACGUAGGGUGCAAGCGUUGUCCGGAAUUAUUGGGCGUAAAGAGCUCGUAGGCGGCUUGUCACGUCGGGGGUGAAAGCCCGGGGCUUAACCCCGGGUCUGCAUUCGAUACGGGCUAGCUAGAGUGUGGUAGGGGAGAUCGGAAUUCCUGGUGUAGCGGUGAAAUGCGCAGAUAUCAGGAGGAACACCGGUGGCGAAGGCGGAUCUCUGGGCCAUUACUGACGCUGAGGAGCGAAAGCGUGGGGAGCGAACAGG
rnacentral:rRNA from 1 species